GACGAACGCUGGCGGCGUGCUUAACACAUGCAAGUCGAGCGAUGAAGCUUUCUUCGGAAAGCGGAUUAGCGGCGGACGGGUGAGUAACACGUGGGUAACCUGCCUCAUAGAGGGGAAUAGCCUUUCGAAAGGAAGAUUGAUACCGCAUAAGAUUGUAGUAUCGCAUGGUACAGCAAUUAAAGGAGUAAUCCGCUAUGAGAUGGACCCGCGUCGCAUUAGCUAGUUGGUGAGGUAACGGCUCACCAAGGCGACGAUGCGUAGCCGACCUGAGAGGGUGAUCGGCCACAUUGGGACUGAGACACGGCCCAGACUCCUACGGGAGGCAGCAGUGGGGAAUAUUGCACAAUGGGGGAAACCCGGAUGCAGCAACGCCGCGUGAGUGAUGACGGUCUUCGGAUUGUAAAGCUCUGUCUUUAGGGACGAUAAUGACGGUACCUGAGGAGGAAGCCACGGCUAACUACGUGCCAGCAGCCGCCGUAA
rnacentral:rRNA from 1 species